GUAUAUAGGUAUUUUCAUAAUACCUACUUGAUAUUUCAUGAUAAUUUAUUCGACAUCAAGUGUUGCCAAUAUUUUAACAUAAAAAGUCCCCCCUUUUUUUAAGCGAAAUUUGGUAUAUUUAGCCAUAGGAUGUGGAAAUGUGUGAUUAGGAUUAGGCCCACUGAAAAAGAUAACCUAGCUCAGCUAUCAGCUGAUUUUGACAUAUAGAAAAAUUAAAAAUGUGGGCUGUGGUAAAAUGUUGGAAAAGGCUAAUUGAAAUAAAAUUGUCUCAAUGAUAGUAGACUCACACUCGUAUAUUGAAGAUACUUGCAGAUGAUAACCAUGGAAAAUAAUCAAAUGAUGACUUUUCAAAGUGGUGAAAUCUGCACCACUAUGUUCCAGAAGUUAUUUGAGCAGAAGAAAGCUAGUAGAUUUUGUGAUGUUAAUCUGUUUGUCAACAACAAGAUAAUAAAAGCUCAUCGUAAUGUUCUAGCUUGCAGUUCACCCUACUUUGAUUCAAUACUCAAACAUCACAGAGUUGUAAGGGAACAGUUGACAAUAUCAUGUUUAGAUAGCGAAAUAUUCAAUAUGAUUUUGAAGUUCAUGUACACAGGAGAGAUUACAAUACAAUAUUCCAAUGUAGAAGAACUUCUGAAAUUAGCUGAUCAUUUCAUUUUAACCAAAGUAAUUGAAUACUGCAUAGAAUUCCUAGGAACCAAAUUGAAUCUAGAUAAUUGUUUAUUUACAUAUUUUUUGUCACAGCGUUUCAAGUUAAAACAUUUAGGAAAUAUAGUAGAGAAUUGGAUUUCUAGUCACAUAGAUGAAAUUUGUAAAGGGAAAGAAUUUUUAGGGCUAAAUUCAAUUGAACUGAUGGAAUUUUUCAGAAAUAAGAAUUUCAUCCUAACAACUAGCAAAGCCCUUAAUCUACUUUCCCAGUGGAUACUAGUGGAUUUGGAACGAAGAGAGAAAAAGUUUGAUAUGCUCAUUAAAUGCUUUCCUACUAAUAAUUUGGAACCCAUCGAAGUAUUCAAACACUUAGAUACUUGUACUCUAUACAACAAAAGUGAACUGUGUUUGUAUAAAUUUUUAGACUACUUGUUGAGAAAUAAUUGGAUGUUGUCUAAUUUUAAAACCCGCUAUGAUGUCUUACAGGCGAGAUAUGGUCAGAUAUCAUCUGAUAAGGGUACUGAUAUGGAUGCAAAGCAUGAUAAAAUAAUGAUUCAAGAAAAAAGUGAAUUUGAUUCAAUCCAAAAUAAUUUCAAUUCAGUAACAGUAAAAGCCAAACUGAAAAACAGAAAACAAUUGAUCCUCAAAAAGCUAAUGUUAUUUGGAUUAAAACCAAGUUUAAGAAUGGCCGCUUUGAAGAUGCUUGCUUGCAAGAAACAAAACAUAUCGCUGUCUGACAACGAGAAAGAAGAGAAUGAAGUUGAAGAUCCUGAUGAAAAAGUUGGUAUUAAAUGUCCUAUAUGCUUCACUACGAUAAAUGACAGUUUACUUCUUGAACAGCACCUUGCAUUAAGUCAUGCAAAAGAUGUUACAUAUAAGUGUGGACUAUGUUCUUUCGUUUGUCAGUAUCACGGAGAUUACCUAAAUCAUAUGAAGACCCACUUCUCUGGACCCCCUUUCAAGUGUGACUAUUCGGAUAUAUAUCGAUGUUCAUAUCCCCAUUGCAAAUAUACAACUUCUAAGAAAACUCAACUUGCUAGCCAUGCUAAAACCCAUAACGGUGUUCGUCCUCAUACUUGUGGUAUUUGUGGAAGGGGUUUUAUGGAGAAAUCUCAUCUUGUUCGUCAUGAACGUAUACACUUGGAAGAAAAACCAUUCAAAUGUUCAAAUUGUGAUUAUGCCAGCUCGAGAAGGGACAAGUUGAAGGAGCAUUAUACUAGGCAUCAUGGAGAAAACGCUUCAGCUAAAGUGCCAUACAAAGCCAGACCGUUACGAAAUAAUAAUAACAACACAUCUUCCAGACCAAAAUCACAGUCCUCUCAAGAAACAUCUCCUGGAACAACAGCUAAUGCAAGCAGUGUAAAUUUUACUCAAACGAACAGUACUACCGUGGCUCCUUCAUCACAGUCAAUGGGUUCAGAAAUACAGGAGUUGAUUAUGCAUCAUCAAAGUCAUUCUACUUCUGCUGCUACAAAUCUAACAGCAAUAAAUUCAAAUUGGUGAGCCCUCUGAAUUUCACCAUUCACAUAAUCAUGCCCACAAUAUCCAUAACCAAAUCAUUGGAGCCUCGAGCAACAACCAGCGUUCCACGACCCAACAACACAAUAAUAAUAUCGUCAACCAUCACAUGUUGACGUCGAGAACAAAUCCUGCAACUGCAACAUCGACAGCUGCUGCAGUUGCUGCAGCUAUGAUGUUGGACCCCAGAUUUCAUCAUGGGUCAACGGUGCCAUAUCAUCCUACCACCACUCCUGUGUCAAUGGCAAUGGCUGCUGUGCAAUCGUCUCAACAAAUUCAGGCAACUGGACAACCAACCGAAUAUACUCCUACUUUGCAAAAUUGCAUGACACUUUUCUAGUCAAAAAUAUAAUUGUCAUUUAUAUAAAAACAUUUUGUUAUUUAGUGUGUAUCAAUAUUAAUGCAAGUUUUUGUUAUUAGUCGAAAGUACAAAAUUGUGAUUCAUUUGAUAUAUUUUGUUAUUUAGUAUUUAUCAAUAUUAUGAUUGUUUGAGUUUUA
rnacentral:misc_RNA from 1 species